rnacentral:rRNA from 1 species
UUGCACGCUGGCGGCAGGCCUAACACAUGCAAGUCGAGCGGAUGAAGGGAGCUUGCUCCUGGAUUCAGCGGCGGACGGGUGAGUAAUACCUAGGAAUCUGCCUGGUAGUGGGGGAUAACGUCCGGAAACGGGCGCUAAUACCGCAUACGUCCUGAGGGAGAAAGUGGGGGAUCUUCGGACCUCACGCUAUCAGAUGAGCCUAGGUCGGAUUAGCUAGUUGGUGGGGUAAAGGCCUACCAAGGCGACGAUCCGUAACUGGUCUGAGAGGAUGAUCAGUCACACUGGAACUGAGACACGGUCCAGACUCCUACGGGAGGCAGCAGUGGGGAAUAUUGGACAAUGGGCGAAAGCCUGAUCCAGCCAUGCCGCGUGUGUGAAGAAGGUCUUCGGAUUGUAAAGCACUUUAAGUUGGGAGGAAGGGCAGUAAGUUAAUACCUUGCUGUUUUGACGUUACCAACAGAAUAAGCACCGGCUAACUUCGUG